ACGGAAGGCAGCAGUCGGGAAUAUUGCGCAAUGGAGGAAACUCUGACGCAGUGACGCCGCGUAUAGGAAGAAGGUUUUCGGAUUGUAAACUAUUGUCGUUAGGGAAGAUAAAAGACAGUACCUAAGGAGGAAGCUCCGGCUAACUACGUGCCAGCAGCCGCGGUAAUACGUAGGUUGCAAGCGUUGUCCGGAUUUACUGGGUGUAAAGGGCGUGUAGGCGGAGCUGCAAGCCAGAUGUGAAAUCCCGGGGCUCAACCCCGGAACUGCAUUUGAAACUGUAGCCCUUGAGUAUCGGAGAGGCAAGCGGAAUUCCUAGUGUAGCGGUGAAAUGCGUAGAUAUUAGGAGGAACACCAGUGGCGAAGGCGGCUUGCUGGACGACAACUGACGCUGAGGCGCGAAAGCGUGGGGAGCAAACAGAAUUAGAUACCCUGGUA
rnacentral:rRNA from 1 species